GUCAGAAUGGCCGAGCGGUCUAAGGCGCCAGACUCAAGGUUGUGCACUUUCUCCAGAACAGAGAGAUUUCUGGUCUCCGAAUGGAGGCGUGGGUUCAAAUCCCACUUCUGACA
rnacentral:tRNA from 1 species